CCCCGGAAGUGCAACAACAUAGGAAAUGAUCGCUUGCAAUAUUAUGCUUUUUCAGGAAAUAUACAAUUUAACGUGAAUAACGUCCUAAAGGAAAUCAAGACCCACUACAUUGUUCAUCGGUGUCUGAAUGACGACGGAUACAUCUUGAGUUCGAGGGAAACGCUACAUUCUUCAGUGUUUGUGGAUAUCACCAUGCGACAUGUUUUGUAGUAUUUAGGCUAUUUCAUCGAAAGGGAUAUGAAGACAUGGUGCUGUGUGUAAAUGAAUUCAAUUGAAUUUGAGAAGAAAUAUAAAGGUAAAAUAACGCUAACAUUUGCAUAUUUGUCCAGACCUCCCAUCUGCAUGUGCUGACUAUAAGCAGAAUUACUACGUUCUGUGAUCAUUGCUGGUAACAAACAAGUCGGUGUUGUUGCACUUUCCGUCAUUUCGAAUGAACGACAGAAUUUACUUCAGUAAGAAAUAGGUCACUGAAAGUGUCACCUAAAUUGGUCUUAAAAGAUCUGUUCAGAUCCGAUCAAUCUUAAUCGUGUUCAUAAAACGGGCCAGAAAAUAACAAGCAUGAGUUUCUUCAGUUUUGGCCAAAGUGCAGAAAUUGAUGUAGUUCUGACUGAUGCUGAGACGAGAAAGAAGGCUGAACAUAAGACUGAAGAUGGGAAGAAGGACAAAUAUUUCUUAUUUUAUGAUGGGGAGACAGUGGCAGGAAAGGUCAACGUUACACUGAAGAACCCUGGGAAAAGACUGGAACAUCAAGGCAUCAAAAUCGAAUUUGUAGGUCAGAUUGAGCUGUACUACGACAGAGGAAACCAUCAUGAGUUUGUCUCCCUGGUGAAAGAUCUGGCAAGGCCUGGUGAGCUUACUCAGUCACAGACAUUCGACUUUGAGUUCACCCAUGUUGAGAAGCCCUAUGAGUCCUACACAGGCCAGAAUGUGAAGCUACGGUAUUUUCUGCGCGCUACUGUGAGCAGGAGACUGAAUGACAUCAGUAAAGAGAUGGAUAUUGUGGUGCACACACACUCAGCACGUACCCAGAGCUCAACUCAUCAAUAAAAAUGGAAGUUGGGAUCGAAGACUGUCUCCACAUUGAGUUUGAGUACAACAAAUCCAAGUACCACCUGAAAGACGUCAUUGUGGGUAAGAUCUACUUCCUGCUGGUGCGGAUUAAAAUCAAGCACAUGGAGAUUGACAUCAUCAAAAGGGAGACAACUGGCACCGGUCCUAGUGUAUACCAUGAAAAUGACACCAUCGCCAAAUAUGAGAUCAUGGAUGGAGCUCCUGUCCGAGGAGAGUCAAUUCCAAUACGGUUGUUUCUGGCUGGCUAUGAGAUGACCCCUACCAUGCGAGAUAUCAAUAAGAAGUUCUCUGUGCGUUACUACCUUAAUCUGGUGUUGAUUGAUGAGGAGGAGAGACGCUACUUCAAACAGCAGGAAAUCACACUGUGGAGGAAAGGGGAUGUGGUGAGGAAGAGCAUGUCGAGCCAGGCCACCAUCGGAGCCCAGCGGUUCGAGGGCUCAGUCAGUUCAGAGAGCGCCCUGGAGAAGGCGGCGAGGGAGGACAGCGCCUAAAGCUGCCUCCACUCAUUCUCCUCACGGAAGAUUGGCAGUGUCUGUGGAAAAGUAGUGGGGGCACCUAUCAGCUCACAUGAUCAAGUAGUCCUCUGUUUAUUAGGGCUGCUGAAUAAAGGGAUAAAGGAAGGAUGAAGGGAAGUCUAGAGGUAAACACCUGAACAAUGAAAAAGAAGCCUGCAUGAGGCAUUACAGGGGUCUAAAAUCCUGCUGCAGGUCAAUUCCAUCCACACACAUAUCCGGUGAAAGUUAAGCCGGCCACUUGUUUAGAUCUCCCCUGUGCGUGAUACCCGAAAAAUGGAAUAUUAUACCCUGUCAUCUUCAAUUUAUCAACAUUGUUUGUCACAAAAUAUAUUUCUAGCUUUAGCUUUAUAUGAAUGGAUUCUAACUCCGUCUACAACACUGUAUUGCCAUAGGGAGUUAGUCAUGAGUAACAGCGAAGCAUUUUGAAAACAUUCCAUACCCAGUCAAAUGCAUUCCUGAAAUUUUAAUGUGGUGUCAUAAUGAAAUCUGAAAUUGUCUUUACACAGAUAGGUAUCCGUUGCUUCUCCACAUACACAUUAUCCUCUGUCCUUGUGUAAUGAUUGCAGUGAGAUCAAUGGAAGGUUUCUACUGCAUUGGAAGUGUCAUCCAAUUUCUUUGAGUGAGAGGGCUAGAUAAAGUAUUACUAACCCAUUAAUUUUAAAGUCCUGCAAAUAAGAGCUAUAGAACUCUCACCCUCUUAUACCAUCAUGUACAGUGAAUAGCAUACAGACGGUCACAAUAUGACCAUUACAUUCACAUGCUUUACCUAAGCAUUCCAAUACUGUUAGGCGGGGAUUUUAAGUGCUUGUAUUUGAGGUCUGAUAUUAAGAAGUCUUCUGUAUCGUCCAUGUUAGACUUGAAAUGUCGUGCCUAAGUGUAUCUUGCAAAUUAAAUCCUGUUGCCUCAAUACGUUUAACACACUUAUUUUAGUCUGAAAUGUUCCUGUAUUUUUUUGUGCUCUGCAAAUGACUAAUUAUAGCCCCUUCCCCAAAACUGAAAUAAAUUGAUGCCAUAUG